UGAGUCGGCCAGGCGGUCGCGUCGUCCCGGCCUCGGCCGGGACGCCGAGGAACGUCCGGGCUCCAUAGGGCAGGGUGGUGGGUAACACCCACCCGGGGUGACCCGCGGGACAGUGCCACAGAGAGCAGACCGCCGUCGGAGCGAUCCGGCGGUAAGGGUGAAACGGUGGUGUAAGAGACCACCAGCGCGGCGGGUGACCGUCGCGGCUAGGCAAACCCCACCCGGAGCAAGACCAGACAGCAGGCGUGAUCAGGGCUGCCCGCCCGAGCCUGCGGGUAGGUCGCUGGAGGCGUGCGGCAACGUACGUCGUAGAUGGAUGGCCGCCACCGACGGGACGGCAACGACCCGGCGGGACAGAACCCGGCGUACCGGCCGACUCGUCCG
rnacentral:RNase_P_RNA from 1 species